GGCUGAAAUUCGCCUUCAUGAAGUCGGAAUUGCUAGUAAUGGCAGGUCAGCAUACUACCGUGAAUACGUUCCCGGGCCUUGUACACACCGCCCGUCACACCAUGAGAGUUGGAGAUACCCGAAGCCUAUGAGCUAACUUUUAGAGGCAGUAGUCGAAGGUAGAAUCAAUGAUUGGGGUGAAGUCGUAACAAGGUAGC
rnacentral:rRNA from 1 species